rnacentral:tRNA from 1 species
ACAUUAGUGGUUCAGUGGUAGAGUUCUCGCCUUGCAUGCAGGAGGCCAGGGUUUGUUUCCUGCUCAUGUA